AGCAAUUCUGCUCUCAACUUCAUAUAAAGUCUGGUUUAGAGACUAAGUUACUUGACAAGUACGUUUAUUAAGACACACAAAAUCAGACAAGUGAUAAAGUGAUACGCAAAACUGAAAAUCACUUAGCUCCAAGAAAAUACUAUUAGAAGAUCAACUGUGUUUUGUUACAGAAGCAUCAGCUGAGCUACCUAGGUAGUAACUUGAUUUCGCCAUUAACUGACUCUACCAACCUGACAGGAGACAUCGCUGGAGAAGGGAAUUGAUCAUAAUCCUCCAUUUUAUCUAAAUGUCUAAUGAGAGCUUUGUAAUAUUGUUUUACCUAUCAUGGCAACAUAUCUUCACUGAAAUAUUAUUUUUUAAAUCUUCCAGAUAUCUUUCAGACCCUCACAGAAAACAGUAUUAUGUCCAGCAUUGAUAUCCCUGGGAUACCCCAGUAACUAAGAAUCAGCUAAAACUAGACACAACUUCAUCUCCUACAAUAAACUUUGGUUGGAAAAGAUAACGUUGACUAUAGAUACCUGAUACAGAGCUAAUCACAUGAAAACACUACCCAUUACUUUUCUUAGUAUGAACUCAUUAGUUUAUUCCACGCCACUGGCUCUUAUAAAUUCUAAGACCUUCAGAGCAGAGACUCUCUCUGUUUUGUUAGUUAAAGUGUUCCACCUGUCUAACAGUAGGCCCGUGCAUUUCCAUAGCUCAGCUCAAAGAAAAAGGAUUGAGGAAGUGGAUGCCAGCCUGCUCUGCUUUCAGCUUCUCCAAACUUUGCCAGGAAAGCAGGUUACAGAAAGGUCAGCAUACAGAAAGAAUGUCAACAUAAGGAGGCUGUCCUCUUGUUACGGCAAUAAUUUGUACCUGCUAACAGCAGAAAUACCUCCCUGCAUGGCUCUCCCUGCUAAUGUGGGCAAAAAUGAAGUUUUUAAAGAAUAGUUUGAGGUCAUCUGAGUACACCCAGUACUUGGAUCAGAUCUGCUGAAAUCCCACCACCAAUGAACACCGUGUUCACAUCAGUAACCUCAGCUCUGCUGAACUGCUUCACUGACCACAAAGUUCACCCAUAGAAAGCAAGAUGAAGCUAAUCAAAGAGGCUUUAAGAUUAAUCCCCUCACAAAUUCAGGAUAAAGGCCUAGUAAGCUCACAUGUGGAUGACACAUACGAGUAUAUUACUUCCUCUUUGUGACAUUAGCAGUAACUGUGCCUCAUUAUGAUUCUCAGGCUAAUUUCACGUUCCUCUUUGAAGGCACCCUGGGCAACACCUUGCCUCGAAAUGAAACAGGCAAUAAUUCUUCCAGGAGAAAAGCAUGACUCAUUUUCCCUACACUGUUCACAACCUAAUUGUAAAGUAAGAAAGUGUUUAUCUCACUUUUGUCAACAGUAAACAAAUAUUUUUAAACUUAGCCCAACAUAUCCUUGUUCUAAUAUAUCCCCUUCCAUCUCAGCUGUCAUGUGGAAACACGAAACAUAGACAAAUCCAUUCUGAGAGAGAACAAAAAGUUACGAGCAGUAACUAACCAAGCAAUGAACCAAAGGUGAUAGCAAUGUAAAUAUGAUAAUCACCAAGAAAACUAUGACAAAUUCAACAGAAACUAACAGGUCUCACGCACAUAGCGGUAGUGUAAAUGGAAAUAUUCAAACUAUGCUUAGAAGUAACAUCCUUAGAAUAAAACUGUGGAUACAGAAGACAGAAUUUGCAUCUGUCAGUCACGUACAAAGCACUGAGCAAACCCAAUCAAUAAGGGAUCGCAGUCAGUAGGCAGGUUUCAAACUGCAAUGAACAUCAAGAGAACAGUUUGCAGAAAAAUAAAAGACAGAGCGUGACACAAGCAGGCUUGGAUAACUAAAGCAUCAGAACAACGCACUAAUACCCUAAACUGGCAAGGUAGGGAAGGCAACACAAUAACCCUUUUCAGUGAAGCAAUCAAGCUGGGAGUUAGUGUGCUAAGAGGGUAGGUACACGAGGAUUCAGGUCCUGAAGCUUUUCUGACAUCCAAGCAAAAUAGACUGUACUAAAAACUGCCCUACCCCAAACAAGACACUACCCUAGGGACACUCACUUUAAGGCAGAGGCAACAUCAGUGCUACUUAUAAGCGACUGAACCUCCCAUCACAGAAUACUUCUGACCAUUCUGGCACAGCCCUGCCUACCAGAACCCAUUUCGUUCAGCAAACAAACUGCGAUGCCGCCUGGGAACGCGCGGCUGAAGCAACGCUUCCAGAAGACUGCCCCUAAGGAAGCUCCGGGCUCAGCCCUGCCACCAGCGGCACACACAGCUGCCUGGGCCCGGCGGGUGCCUCCCGCGCCUCAGAGCCCGCACCGAGCCCGGAGAGCGGCAGCCCGGGGCACGGCUACCCGAGCCGGCACCCGCAGCGACAGGACGCAGCUCCGGAACUUGACAUAAGGCCCAAACGCGGAGCUGCCCCGUGGCCCAGCCCACACGGGCCGCAGACUUCAGAAGAAUCACCGUGUUUCCCAGGCAUGGCUGCAGCUGAUCUCUGCAGGUGCAUCAUGGCAGAAACUAGUUUCUUUGUGGAGGAACGCCUCACCCAGCACAUCGCAGGUCUUCUGCUCUUGAUGACAGGUAAUGGCAACGCACCAUUCUAGCGAGAUAAUUAUGUGUGAAGACUUCACCAGGUUUGCCUUGAGUAGGCAGCACAUGAUGCCAGUAAGUGGAGCACACCUUUCCUUCUCAUCUCCAGUUAUUGUGCCUUGCAUGAAGCGAGUCACUUGCACAAGUGGAAUAACCAGUAAUUAAAAAACAAAACAAAAAAACAACUAAGAAGUGUUCUAGGCCUCAUGCAGCAGGACCAUGGGACUAAAGCAACCGCUCCCUCUCCAUCACAUGCAAAGUGAUAUCUUUUCUCGUGAGCAGAGCUGUCCCUCCCUAGGGUUUGCAGUCCUUGGUGUUGGAUUGAAUGUUUCAUGCUGAGGUAGGGAAGGGGAACACUUUCACAAAAAAAAGAAAAAAGUUGGCUGUAAAAUUAAUGGUUGUUUAUAGAAGGAGAGCUAAAGUCCCCUAACAAGAAUCCAGUGUGAGCUUGAAGCAUCUAUACUCACAAGGCUAUGCACAAUGCUUUCUCUCAUACCAAAGGAAAUAUUUUGAUUUGAGCAGCUAUAAUGCACAGGCAUAGCAUUUGUUUUUUUUUUCCUUUAAAAAGUUUAGAAAGCAUAGGCCUGAGGAAAGGCUUGCUGUGCAUGGUUAAUCUAGCAGCUUAAUGAAAAAUUUAGCCUAAUGAAAAAUGCCUAAUGAAGAGUGAGCCGAGGCUGGGAGGUGGGUGCCUGCAGACAGAUGGGGACAGACUUUCCCCCCAGCCACCCUCUGCAGAGCUAUACCGUGGGAGGCUGGCGAGGGCCACCCACUGAGGUGGAUUACCUGCUCUGUAACCUUCAGAUCAGAUUACACACAGCACAUACAAAACUAUUUUCCUGGCUCCGAGGAGGUGUGCAGUGGGCUCUGCUCCCACAGAGGGGGGUUCUGCAUCACAGCUGCAACUUUUGCUCAAGGUGAUUUUACCACGUGGGUCAAGUCUGAUCGUGAACAGAGGCUUUUGCUAUCACGCUCAGUUUGAAGGGGCAGGAGUGGCUGAGGUCACAGAGGGGACUCCUCUGUUUUUAAAAGUAACAACUAAGAAGUUAACUGGAAACAAUUCACAACCACAGAGCUACAGCUCAGUCUAGCAUAAUUGGGUAAUACAUUAGAACAACACAAAUACCAGUAAUUAUAACCUGUGUGCUACCUGAGAUAACUUGUAUCAACAAAGCUGGGUGCAAGUUAUUUGAUUACUAAGGCUUAACAUUUCUUUUGUUACUUGCACUCAGAAUAUCAAAGCGAUUAUUUCAUUUGCAGCAAUAUUUUGCAAUAUUUCUAUUUUCGAGGAUCUGCAAGUAAAGAAAUAACAGAAAAGUCAUCGUUGCCAGAUGAAUCCUAGACAGCAUUAUACCCCUUUUCCCAGGGCAUCUUGUGUAAUGUUACGAUUCAGUACAUUUUGCAUUUGAUCUUAAAGACAGGGUUUGUUGCCCCUCCCCGCUUCCCAGUGCCCACAUACACCUUUUUCUAAAACUAAAAAAGUAUGUGCCUGCAUCUUUUUAUACAUCCCUUGUACAGGAAGUUCCCGUGUAAUUUGUAAAUAACCAAGAUUUCCAUUCUCAGCACCUGAGCUGCACUGUAAGAAAAGAUUAAAUGACUCCAGUCUAUUC